rnacentral:rRNA from 1 species
GAUGAACGCUGGCGGCGUGCCUAACACAUGCAAGUAGAACGCUGAAGGAGGAGCUUGCUCUUCUGGAUGAGUUGCGAACGGGUGAGUAACGCGUAGGUAACCUGCCUGGUAGCGGGGGAUAACUAUUGGAAACGAUAGCUAAUACCGCAUGACAACAGUUAUUGCAUGAUAACUGUUUAAAAGGGGCAACUGCUCCACUACCAGAUGGACCUGCGUUGUAUUAGCUAGUUGGUGAGGUAACGGCUCACCAAGGCGACGAUACAUAGCCGACCUGAGAGGGUGAUCGGCCACACUGGGACUGAGACACGGCCCAGACUCCUACGGGAGGCAGCAGUAGGGAAUCUUCGGCAAUGGACGGAAGUCUGACCGAGCAACGCCGCGUGAGUGAAGAAGGGUUUCGGAUCGUAAAGCUCUGUUGUAAGAGAAGAACGAGUGUGAGAGUGGAAAGUUCACACUGUGACGGUAGCUUACCAGAAAGGGACGGCUAACUACGUG